GAUGAAGAACGUAGCGAAAUGCGAUAAGUAAUGUGAAUUGCAGAAUUCAGUGAAUCAUCGAAUCUUUGAACGCACCUUGCGCCCUUUGGUCAUUCCGAAGGGCAUGCCUGUUUGAGUAUCAUGAACACCUCAACUCUCAUGGCUCGCCAUGAUGAGCUUGGAUUUGGGGGUCUUGCUGGCCUGUGGUCGGCUCCUCUCAAAUGGAUCAGCUUGCCAGUGUUUGGUGGCAUCACAGGUGUGAUAACUAUCUGCGCUUGUGGUUUUCCAUCAGAUAACCUUCAGUGAUGGAGGUUCGCUGGAGCUCAUAAACGUCUCCCCUAAGCGGGGACAGCCCUUUGAAUGUUUGAUCUCAAAUCAGGUAGGACUACCCGCUGAACUUAAGCAUAUCAAUAAGCGGAGGA
rnacentral:misc_RNA from 1 species